rnacentral:rRNA from 1 species
GGCAGCAGUGGGGAAUUUUGGACAAUGGGGGAAACCCUGAUCCAGCCAUCCCGCGUGUGCGAUGAAGGCCUUCGGGUUGUAAAGCACUUUUGGCAGGAAAGAAACGUUCCGGGUUAAUACCCCGGGAAACUGACGGUACCUGCAGAAUAAGCACCGGCUAACUACGUGCCAGCAGCCGCG